UAGGGAAUCUUCCGCAAUGGACGCAAGUCUGACGGAGCAACGCCGCGUGAGUGAAGAAGGAUUUCGGUUCGUAAAACUCUGUUGUUAGAGAAGAACAGCGCAUAGAGUAACUGUUAUGCGUGUGACGGUAUCUACCCAGAAAGCCACGGCUAACUACGUGCCAGCAGCCGCGGUAAUACGUAGGUGGCAAGCGUUGUCCGGAUUUAUUGGGCGUAAAGCGAGCGCAGGCGGUCAAUUAAGUCUGAUGUGAAAGCCCCCGGCUCAACCGGGGAGGGUCAUUGGAAACUGGUUGACUAGAGUGCAGAAGAGGAGAGUGGAAUUCCAUGUGUAGCGGUGAAAUGCGUAGAUAUAUGGAGGAACACCAGUGGCGAAGGCGACUCUCUGGUCUGUAACUGACGCUGAGGCUCGAAAGCGUGGGUAGCAAACAGG
rnacentral:rRNA from 1 species